GUACAUGCUACCACAUCCAGCUAAUUUUUGUAUUUUUUAGUAGAGAUAGGGUUUUGCCAUGUUUACCAGGCUGGUUUCGAACUCCUGACCUCAGGUGAUCCACCUGUCUUGGCCUCCUGAGGUGCUGGGAUUACAGACAUGAGCCACCGCACCCAGCCCAGUUUGUAGUUUUAAAUAGGGGCUAAGGGAAUACUCCAUUCAAAAGUGACAUCAAAGUAAAGACCUGAAGGAGGGGAGGGAAUGAGGCACGCAGAAUCUGGGGGCAGAUAAUUCAAGGCAGAGAAACAGCCACUGAGGAAAUACUGUUUCCUCAGUGCAAAGCCCUGAGGCGGAAACCUCCCCAACACCCUUAAGGGACAGUGACUGAAAACUUGAGCAGGGGGAGAAGAGGAGAGAAGGUCAAAGAGGUCAGGAUCUGCUGGGCGCGAUGGCUCAAGCCUCCUCCCAAAGUGCGGGGAUUACAGGCAUGAGCCACCGCGCCCAGCUAAUCUGACUUAUUUUUAAACAGAAUCACUCUGGCUACUGUGUUGAGAAAAGACCCAGGGGAAACAAAGACUGGAGCAGGGAAUCUUUUAUCAGAGCUGGUAGUAGCUCUGACCCAAGUGAUAGAAGUGGAGACAGUGAGAAGUGAUUAGAUUUGAGAUCUGUUUUGAAGAUAAAGGCAGAAGGAUUUCCUGAGAGAUGACACACGGGGUGUGAUGUAGUUGCCAUUAAUUGAGAUGGGGGAAAUGGGGAGAAGUAGGCUUUUGGGGGAAGAGCAGGAGCUCCGUUUGGGAUGUGUUAAAUUGGCAUCUGUGAGACACCCAGGGGUAUCAAGCAGGGAGUUGCAGGAGUGAAACUAGACCUCAAGGGAGAGGCCUGGGCUAGAGACACAAAUUUGGUUGUCGUCAGCAGUGAUGGUAUUUAAAUCUGUUAGUCUGGAUGAGGUCACCAAGGGAGUGUGUGUCGACAGAAAAGAAAUGAGGUCCUCCACUCAGCCCUAGGGCACUCCAGUGCUGAGAGGUUGGGAAGUUCAGGCAGGAUCAGCACAGAUGACUAAGAAGUGACAGUCAGCAAGGUAGAAGGAAAACGAAGAGAAUGUGCUGUCUUCAAAGCCAGGCAAAGACAGUGUUUCAAGGAGCAGUCAGAAAUCAACGGUGGCAGAUGCAGCUGCAUAGUGGCCAAGGAAGAUGAGGGCUGGAAACUGCCUGUUGGAUUUAGCAGCAUGGAGGUCCUUGAGAAGUGCAGUGUUGCACAGCAGUGGGGGUAAGGCCUGGCCGAAGCAUUUCCUCCUGGCAGAGAUGGGGAGAUGUGGAUAUAUUCUUCAGGGCAGGUGCUGCUUACCAAGCCCCUGCCAGGUGCCACCAAUGAUAUACCCAUCUGUACCAACUCCCUAUGUGUACCAACAACUCCAUGAGAGAACUGUGGUUACACAGGCUCAGGGCUUGCCCAAGGUUCACCUGGAGACGAGGUCCUCAGUCAGGCCUGUCCGACUCUGAAGCCUAUGACCUUUCUGCUCCACUGCAUCUGAUGGCUGGGUGCAGGUUCUUCCAAACCUCACUCCUCUACCUCCUCCCAGCCUCCCUUCACAUGGCAAGUCGGGACCUAGCUGGGGACUCACUGACUGUCUUGCCUGGUGGGUGUGAUUUGCCUAGGUGUAGACAAACACCUGCCUACCAGUUUUCCUUGCAACACCUGCAGCACGCACAGGUGAUUGGAGAAUGCAAUAAACAGGCCUCACCCUCAACCUUCAAGCUUCAUACUUACUCACCCAGGCUUUGGCUUCAAACAGUCCUGAGUUCAAAUCCCAAUUCUGGGCCGGGCGCGGUGGCUCACGCCUGCAAUCCCAGCACUUUGUGAGGCUGAGAUGGGCGGAUCACGAGGUCAAGAGAGGGAGACCAGACUGGCCAACAUGGUGAAACCCCAUCUCUACUAAAAAUACAAAAAUUAGCUGGGUGUGGUGGUGCAUGCCUGUUGUCCCAGCUACUCUGGAGGCUGAGGCAAGAGAAUCGCUUGAACCUGGGAGGCGGAGGUUGCAGUGAGCUGAGAGCGCGCCACUGCACUUCAACCUGGCAACAGAGUGAGACUCCAUCUAAAAAAAAAAAAA
rnacentral:lncRNA from 1 species